CAUCGGCUGAUCUGGAAGCUGAACCCUUGGAAUAAAGACACCUGCAUGCUAGGAUUUGCAAAAGGAAUGGAAAAGAACCCUUAAAUAUGACUUUGGAUCUUAUCAGCUCAGACAGCACGGGCUAAUGUUCUACUGAAAUGAUCUUUUUCAAAGAGGCAUAAACCAUAGUCUUCCAAAGAGAGACUGCUGUGGACACUCUGGAGAAUUUACAGAAAAAAUGUCCAGGGAAAUUCCCCAAUGGAACCAUGUGUGAAUCCAGAUGACCCUGCCUUGAGGGCAGAGACAGAGGAUCUGGCUUCCCGUACUUGUUUGUCCCUUCCAGGCACCUAACAUGCUGCCAGGCACCCACUAGACAAUUGGAGAAAAAAAAUACAAGUAUUAGAAAUGGUCUUACAACUGUUCAUCCUGGUUGCCCCCACACUCCCUGCCUGACAGGUACCAUCUGCCCAUGAGGCCCAGCCUGUCAAGACAACCACAACCAGCACAGACCACACCAUCCUGAGGAGACCCUCAGACCACCCUGCCCCAUGUCUGCUCUGCCAAGGAAAACAGAAGCUCCGUGAGUGCAGGGCCUGUGCCCUCUUAUUUAUUACUUGGUCCCAGGGCCUAAAAUAACACUUGGCACACAGUAGGUUCUCAAUCAAUAUUUGAUGAAUGAAUAAGUGGAUCAACUGACUUAAGAAUCCAACAACUUAAUUUAACUGCCAACUUAAAACAAAUAUCAACAUUCCAACAAAGCAGCCUCUCUGCUCAUAGUAAUUCUGAUGACAUGUAUUUUUCAGUGGUACAGACCAUGAGAGGGUAAGCAAUUCUUUAUUCUGGAAAUACUUACUGAUGGUAAAGAGAAGCCCCAAAGAGUUCUCUUGUGAAUGAUCUGCGAGUUCUCUUGUGAAUGAUCACUCUUAAUCACAAUGUCAGAAACAUUCCUCUUUUAUUUUACACAUCCAUUCACCAAGUACUUAUUGCAUACCUCCUACCUGCCAAGCACUGUUUUAGGCACUGAGGACUCACAGGAACAAGAAAAAGUCCCAGCUUCCUGGGAGUUCCCAUUCUAGAGAUGGAGAAGGACAAUAAAGAAAGCAAUGAAAAGGAGGACCUGAGACUGUGAGAAGAGCUGUGAGGGGAAGAAACGCAUGCCAGCAGAGAGGCCCCUUGACAUGCAGUAAUGCAGGGCAUGGUGGACCGGCUCACUCAUAUCAGGCUUCUAAGACCCCUAUUUUGGAGGGUUCUUACUGUAACUAGCUGGUCAUCAGAGGAUCUUACUGUUUUAAUG